GGGAGAUGAUGAGUGGUAACAUCUCGCUAAUUAAUGUUGCGAGAGGGGUGUCUGCCCCAACCAAGCCUGUUACGACAACAGGGCACUCCGAUAUUUUACCAUCUGAUCCC
rfam:Oryza glumipatula chromosome 11, whole genome shotgun sequence.